GAAGCGGCAGACGGACAGAGAAACAACUGUAAGGACUAUAAAUCUCAAAAUUGGACAUUGGAAUUCAUUAUAAAGAUACAACAAACGGAAGAAUUGGCAACAACCAGCUCUCGCAAUUAAGAAACGUGCCAAUUCAGCAGAUUCCUGACCAAAGGUGAAAAGUACACUGUGAGGAAGACUCGGGGUCUUCCUCCCAAAGACCCCUGACCACGUCCCAAAGACCCCUGCCCACAAUUCUUGGGAGGCUCUACGCAGGCGUAAGGUGCCAAAAGGCUAAUUAGCAUGAGAAGCGAGGGAAGGCGGGGAUAGGUAAUGCAUAUGUAUAGGCGCUUGUAGAAUAUUGAUAGAUUGAUUGUAGAAAUUCAAGACUGCUUUCCGCUUUGGGUAUGCACGAUAGGUGGAGAGAUCCCCCGUGCAUCCAGCGCUGCAAUAAAGAAUAUACCACUUAAAGGAAUUUCAGCUUCGAUCUUUGAAUCAGUUUCAAAUGAACGGGGUUUUUUAUUUAACUAUUUACUUCCUAUAUGUGACUGCGUAGCCGUGGCCAGGCAUUGGGCAAAAGCAACAGCUUACGUAACGGGGGGGCUGUCCUUUGUGAUUUAUUUAAUCUCCGCACAUUAUUGCAACAAUCCACACCGGAGAAGACACUCAGAAGGAGGACAACGACAACUAGGAACUGAAUAUAAGGAAGUCAUUUGCCGGACCUCAGAACCUCAAACGGUAAAGGAGCUACAAACCUUUUUAGGAAUGACAGCUUCUUUCCUUAGUGGAACUCUGGAUGAACCCAUAACCCGUGAUUGUAUAGAAACAAUGGACACUGUGUAUUCUAAUCAACCCGAUUUUAAGGAAGAAUCUUUAGAAGAUGCUGACGACUCUUGGUAUACUGAUGGGAGCAGCUUUGUGAAACAAGGACAACGUAAGGCAGGGUAUGCCAUUACAACCACUCAACAGGUAAUCAAGUCCAAACCAUUACCCCUGGGACGUCCACCCAGAAAGCAGAGACAAUUGCUCUUAUGCGAGCACUGGAACUAGCAGCAGGAAGGAAAAUAA
rnacentral:lncRNA from 1 species